UUCGAGCCUGGUUUGGUAAGUUUAGCACUGUUAUCCAGGACUUUGGCAUGACUCGGAGUGAAGCUGAUCACUCUGUAUUCUAUUGGCAUUCUGAUUCACGUCUCUGUAUUUAUCUGGUGGUCUAUGUUGACGACAUUGUUAUUACUGGUAAUGACCAUAAUGGUAUUACUAAAUUGAAACACAUCUCUUUCAACACUUUCAGACUAAGGAUCUGGGCACACUAAAGUAUUUUCUCGGUAUUGAGGUCGCUCAGUCUAGCUCAGGUAUUGUGAUCUCACAACGGAAGUAUGCCUUAGAUAUU
rnacentral:lncRNA from 1 species